UGCCUUAUUAAACUUAACGCUGUCGCUAUCCUCACGAGAACUGCCACCUGAAAUGGCCUGGGUGGCAGCUCUCGUGAGAUUAGUGCUGACAGCGGCAACAAACCCGGGAUACAACUCAGAAGAGAGAUGAUGAAUGAAGACGUGCCGGUGAAAAAAACAAAGUACUAGUGUAAAUAUGUUGUGAAAUGUGAAAUAGAGUUUACCUUCUUAAAGAGCAGCAAGAUGGGACACAGUUACACAUUCUGUAAGAUUUGUAACUGAGAUUUUAGCGUCUACCACGGGGGAAGGAACCACGUAAGUCACUAUGAAAAAUCAGCCAAUCACACGCGCCACAAAUAUACACUGCUUUAAAAAAGUGUUAAAGGAUGUAAAGUCUGUAAUAAAUGUGUAUAAAAAGUCAUUAGUGAAUACCAGAUAACCACGAGUGAGUAUGAGAAAUUAUAAGAAAACAUGUAAUAAAAUAAAAUGUUAAUUUAUUAACAAAACUUGUCUAUCUUAAGGACAAGCAACGUGAAAUUGACAGUAAAUAUAUAAUUUGUUGACAUGUAUAUGAACUGUAAGUAUAUUAAAUAAACACGUGCUUCAUAUACACAUUUAUGUUUUCAUUUAGGCGGUUUUAUAAUUUAGGAAUUAGGGCUGGGCGAUAUUUCGAGAUUCAAGAUGUAUGCUGCUUUUACUUCUCAGAACAGCAUGUAAAGCUCAGUUAGAUGGAUUAUUGAAUGCACAUAUUGUGCAGCUGUUUGUUAAUAAAUGAGCCUCCAUCCAUCCAUUUUCUUCCGCAGAGGCAGCAGUCUCAGCAGAGAUGCCCAGACCUCCUGAUCCACGCACACCUCCUAUCAAGAUUUAUAUCGUAUAUCACCAUUUUGAGAUGAUAUGGAGUUUUGGUUCAUAUCACCCAGCCCUAGUAGGAAUGUUCACAGCAUUUCAAUGUUAAUAAAGCUGCACUUCAUGUGGUCGGAUUCAUUGUUACUGGGCAAAACCACCACAGAUCAACUUCAUCCUGCGUGGAGAGAACCCUUUUCAAUGCUUUAGCUGAACUUUAUUUGUUGUAUAAAGAAUCUUGGAUGCAAAGCAGAUCUUUGCUCCUGUUUGGACUCUAAAUAAAACAGGAUGAAGGCAGUGACA
rnacentral:lncRNA from 1 species